UGAAGUAAAAGUCGUAACAAGGUUUCCGUAGGUGAACCUGCGGAAGGAUCAUUACAAAUCUUUGGAGGCUGGCUGCUGUGCAAACAGUGCUGGUUUCACAUUAGCACAAGGUCGCAAGGCCUUGAUGUUUACGCUUGUUUGUUUGACAAAUUUAGAUGAGAAUAUAAAUAAAGACAACUUUUAACAAUGGAUCUCUUGGCUCUU
rnacentral:misc_RNA from 1 species